CAGUAGCCGCGGGAAUACGGAGGGUGCAAGCGUUAAUCGGAAUUACUGGGCGUAAAGCGCACGCAGGCGGUCUGUUAAGUCAGAUGUGAAAUCCCCGGGCUCAACCCGGGAACUGCAUUUGAAACUGGCAGGCUGGAGUCUUGUAGAGGGGGGUAGAAUUCCAGGUGUAGCGGUGAAAUGCGUAGAGAUCUGGAGGAAUACCGGUGGCGAAGGCGUCCCCCUGGGCCAAUACUGACGCUCAUGCACGAAAGCGUGGGGAGCAAACAGGAUUAGAUACCCCUGUAGUCCCUGUCUCUUAUAC
rnacentral:rRNA from 1 species